CCAUACAUCUGAGGAUGAUGAAUCUGAGGCCAUUUCAUCGAAAGAAAUCCGAUCAGAAGGUAACAAGAAUACACUGUAGUAAAAAAUGAUAGUGGAGUGCUUUAAAUAAAUUUGCAGGUCAUUAUUGUUCAAUGGGGAAAUCAGAAUCCCUGACACCAUGAUUGGGAUUGUAGAAUCUACAGGUUUGAAAGCACGUAAAAUUUAAUAGUUAUCAAUCACACACUUGGAUCAUCUGAAUGCAAAGGCAGUUAUUCUUGUAUUGUAUAAUCAUUAUGCAUAAAUGCCUUGAAAAAUCUAACUUCUUAAAAGUGAUUGCUGAGAGUAAAGAAACUUUUUCGAACUUAAAAGGAUUAAUAAAAUAAGAAAAGCAGAAUAGAAUAAGAUUAAAGGAGAUGCUAAGUAAAAUGAAUAAGCUAUAUAUAAUGACAUCAAACUCCAUAGACCUCUUUUUUGAAUAGAAGAAUAUCUAAGGCCGGCGUUGCUUCUUUGCACAAAGCUUUAACGUGCCAAAUAAUUAUGGAUGCCAAGAGAAACUACUACAGAAAUAAAAAAAUGGUCUAGUGUCUCGGGAAUCAAAUGGUGGUGCAAGGUUGAAGUGGACUCUUUUUGGACAGAAAACAUUUCCAGCAAAAAUGGUGCACUCGGACAGGGACAGAAAGAUGAUUUUGAAGUUUCCAUCACAUUAACAUAAUAUUCCUCAUUCCUGAAUACAGAUUUCCUUUACAGUUAUCAAUAGUAUCAAGAUCAUAUUUGAUAACAGAAAAUAUUUGAUUAUUUAUUUGGUUGUGAGAGUUCAAACUAUGGCAACAUUUUGUAGAACCAUGG
rnacentral:misc_RNA from 1 species